UCCUGGUGGUCCAGUGGUUAGGGCUCUGCACUGCUACUGCAGGGGGCCCAGGUUUGAUCCCUGGUCAGUGAA